UACGAAGGGGGCUAGCGUUACUCGGAUUGACUGGGCGUAAAGGGCGUGUAGGCGGUUUGUUAAGUCAUGUGUGAAAUCCCUCGGCUCAACCGGGGAAGGACGCAUGAAACUGGCAAGCUAGAGUGUGAUAGAGGAUGGUGGAAUUCCCGGUGUAGCGGUGAAAUGCGUAGAGAUCGGGAGGAACAUCAGUGGCGAAGGCGGCCAUCUGGAUCAACACUGACGCUGAGGCACGAAAGCGUGGGGAGCAAACAGG
rnacentral:rRNA from 1 species